GGAAUCAGGACCAAGUGCUGCCCAAGACAGGAGGGAGGAAGGCAGACAGAGAGGGAAGGAGACAUUAGAGAGGUAACUCAGAACAGACUGCGACUCUACGGAAGAAAACAGGCUGCAACAACAACAGUCAGAGGUGCUGACUGAGCACCAGAGACCCAUCCCAAGGACCCAGAGACCCGUUCUGUGUGCCCAGUACCAUGGAUGUGCUCUCACCAGGACCCCAGUGGUGUCCUCACUGGUGCAAGCAGAGCUUGUGGCAUGGAAAGCUCUACCUGAGUAAAGCUCAGAGCAAGGCAAGAUGCUUGGCAAAUAAACCAGGAGACCUGUG